rnacentral:rRNA from 1 species
UGGGGAAUUUUGGACAAUGGGCGAAAGCCUGAUCCAGCAAUGCCGCGUGUGUGAAGAAGGCCUUCGGGUUGUAAAGCACUUUUGUCCGGAAAGAAAUCCUUGGCUCUAAUACAGUCGGGGGAUGACGGUACCCGGAAGAAUAAGCACCGGCUAACUACGUGCCAGCAGCCGCGGUAAUACGUAGGGUGCAAGCGUUAAUCGGAAUUACUGGGCGUAAAGCGUGCGCAGGCGGUUUGCUAAGACCGAUGUGAAAUCCCCGGGCUCAACCUGGGAACUGCAUUGGUGACUGGCAGGCUAGAGUAUGGCAGAGGGGGGUAGAAUUCCACGUGUAGCAGUGAAAUGCGUAGAGAUGUGGAGGAAUACCGAUGGCGAAGGCAGCCCCCUGGGCCAAUACUGACGCUCAUGCACGAAAGCGUGGGGAGCAAACAGGAUUAGAUACCCUGGUAGUCCACGCCCUAAACGAUGUCAACUAGUUGUUGGGGAUUCAUUUCCUUAGUAACGUAGCUAACGCGUGAGGUUGACCGCCUGGGGAGUACGGUCGCAAGAUU